GGACUCGCGAAUGCUCUAGAUUAGAGUUGAUCAUGGCUCAGGAUGAACGCUGGCGGCGUGCCUAAUACAUGCAAGUCGAGCGAAUGGAUUAAGAGCUUGCUCUUAUGAAGUUAGCGGCGGACGGGUGAGUAACACGUGGGUAACCUGCCCAUAAGACUGGGAUAACUCCGGGAAACCGGGGCUAAUACCGGAUAACAUUUUGAACCGCAUGGUUCGAAAUUGAAAGGCGGCUUCGGCUGUCACUUAUGGAUGGACCCGCGUCGCAUUAGCUAGUUGGUGAGGUAACGGCUCACCACGGCAACGAUGCGUAGCCGACCUGAGAGGGUGAUCGGCCACACUGGGACUGAGACACGGCCCAGACUCCUACGGGAGGCAGCAGUAGGGAAUCUUCCGCAAUGGACGAAAGUCUGACGGAGCAACGCCGCGUGAGUGAUGAAGGCUUUCGGGUCGUAAAACUCUGUUGUUAGGGAAGAACAAGUGCUAGUUGAAUAAGCUGGCACCUUGACGGUACCUAACCAGAAAGCCACGGCUAACUACGUGCCCAGCAGCCGCGGUAAUACGUAGGGUGGCCAAGCGUUAUUCGGAAUUAUUGGGGCGGUAAAGGGCGCGCCC
rnacentral:rRNA from 1 species